rnacentral:lncRNA from 1 species
UCCUUGUUGCGUUUGUACGCAGAACUUCUCCUGUAACACAUUAUGUCCAUGUCCCCCCUCCUGCCGCCAGCUUCUGGUUGGGAGAAUUGGAACACGGCUCCUCUUCUCGAGGAAAAUAAAUGUGAAAGUGGGAAGGAUCUGAUGCUGCUCAAAGGGUAGGUCAAGGUGGAAUUCCGUGGGACCCAGGCUUCUUUGUUUUGGUCAGCAUAUAAAGAUAACCAUUGGC